CAUAUCAAUAAGCGGAGGAAAAGAAACCAACAGGGAUUGCCUUAGUAACGGCGAGUGAAGCGGCAAUAGCUCAAAUUUGAAAGCUGGCCCCUUCGGGGUCCGCGUUGUAAUUUGUAGAGGAUGAUUCGGCGAGGGCUCCCGUCUAAGUCCCUUGGAACAGGGCGUCAUAGAGGGUGAGAAUCCCGUAUGUGAUGGGCUGCCUUAGCCAUGUGAAUCUCCUUCGACGAGUCGAGUUGUUUGGGAAUGCAGCUCUAAAUGGGAGGUAAAUUUCUUCUAAAGCUAAAUACCGGCCAGAGACCGAUAGCGCACAAGUAGAGUGAUCGAAAGAUGAAAAGCACUUUGGAAAGAGAGUUAAAAAGUACGUGAAAUUGUUGAAAGGGAAGCGCUUGCAGCCAGACUUGUCCGCAGUUGCUCAGCUUGUCUCCUGACAGGCGUACUCUUCUGCGGCCAGGCCAGCAUCAGUUCGGGCGGUCGGAUAAAGGCCCGGGGAAUGUAGCUCCUCUCGGGGAGUGUUAUAGCCCCGGGUGCAAUGCGGCCAGCCUGGACUGAGGAUCUCGCUUCGGCUAGGAUGCUGGCGUAAUGGCUGUAAGCGGCCCGUCUUGAAACACGGACCAAGGAGUCUAACAUCUAUGCGAGUGUUUGGGUGUCAAACCCAUGCGCGUAAUGAAAGUGAACGGAGGUGGGAACCCUCACGGGUGCACCAUCGACCGAUCCUGAUGUCUUCGGAUGGAUUUGAGUAAGAGCAUAGCUGUUGGGACCCGAAAGAUGGUGAACUAUGCCUGAAUAGGGUGAAGCCAGAGGAAACUCUGGUGGAGGCUCGCAGCGGUUCUGACGUGCAAAUCGAUCGUCAAAUUUGGGUAUAGGGGCGAAAGACUAAUCGAACCAUCUAGUAGCU
rnacentral:rRNA from 1 species